rnacentral:lncRNA from 1 species
GUUAGACUUUAAUUUCCUUUUUUAUCUUUCACAAAAUUAUCGGUGAUUAGGUAGUAGAGUCAUUCAUGCACCAUAUGCGGAUCUCCGAUCGCCAAUUUGAAUUCCCGCUCCUCUCCCAAAAACCUAGCAGUCGUUGUUGCUUCUCCCACGACAUUUCCUCUUCACCCUUCAAGAUUAUCAAGUGUUCGACAUCAUUCGCCAUCACUUCCGACGUAUCACAACCGAUUUCAUCACACUAUUGCAUUAAAGAAUCUAUUAGUUUCUCAACAUAAGCCCUAGCGAUUAAGAAUAUUGAUCAAUGUGCGUGGAUUUAAUAGGUCAGUUUCACAGGGCUUAUGUGAGAUGCUGAUUCCUUAGGUUUUUGGGGGACUCAGACAUGUGGAUAUCCCAGGGCUUAAAGUUUUUUUUAAAGGUUUUGUUUGUGGGAGAUUAAGAUGGAGGUGGAUUAGAAAGAGGUUUAAAUGGAGUGUUGAUAGGAAAUGAUAAGUUAAGAAGAAGACGAUGGAACACAAGGCUUUGAAGUUGCAGGAAGUAGCUUUUGUUUUUUUAGUGCAAAUAUUGGAUGUGGGUUACGCAUUUGUUUCUACUUCUGUCGUAAUGUCAUCAAUUGAAGCCCUAAUUUGUGGUCGGGGUCUGCUACAGUGGGUGGAUAUUUCGAUUAAGCUGGUUCUGGAAGUGGCGCAAAAGUUGGUGGAGAAUAAGGUUAGAACGGAUUGUGGAUAAUCAAUGGGUUCUCAACAAUUUUCCUCCUAUCACUGUUGCAGUCAUGACCCUUUGAUAUACAUACGGUCAAACGAUCCACUUUGAUCCGACCCACGUAUGUCGGAUCCGUAACCCGGAAUAAACCCAUGAAGAUGCAUUCACCCCAUGCCUACGUGAAGAGUGGGCCACCUUGAGCCAACUGCCCACGAUUCCCAUUUUACCCAUUUGAAGUAUUUUAGUUUCUUUUAGUUUAUACUAUUUUCUCACUUUUAAUUAAUUUAUUUAGUAGUGGUCUAGGUGGUUAGUAGAAGUUAUUUUGUAAUUGCUAUAUGUAUGGGUUCGACACUAAUGAAAAGGCAGUGAGUUUAUGUUUGAGAAAAGAAUUUUGUUGAUUUAUCUCUUGAGUGUGAGAGUUAAAUUAAUGUGUCUAUGCUAGCUCAAUUGUGGCAUAUUGAGUGGUGUUCUUAGACCCGAAUUUAUAACCGGAGUGGUGAUUUCUGUAUCUUCGGGAGUGAUUCGCAGCCCUACUGUUGGUUUUGGUGGUGUAUCUGUAUCCAAAACGAACCGUAGAUCUAUCUUUUAUUUUACCGUUUUAAUUGAACCGGUGAUACGGGGAUUUUCUCCUAUCACCCUUGCUGUGAUGGCCAUGAAGUUAAGUUGUAUGAGUGUUCUGCGUUGAAGUUGCGGAGGUGGUAGCAGGGUAUAUUACUAACCCAAUCCCAAAAAAAGAUCAAGAUUAAAGGUUUUGAUUUAGUCAAAUGUUAGUUGAUGUAUUGCUAGGAAAAAGCAGCUCGAUUAUCUGAAUCUUCAUUUAUUAUAUUGGUCGUUGCAGGUUUUCUUUAAAAACCCAUAAUAUGUUCGCAUUAGGGCCUCCUUAACCUACGUUUUAGUGAAAUUGGAAACCUAAAUUGGACUUAGUUUUGACUUUUUUUUUUUCAGAUAGGUACCUGGUGGCAGGGCAACACCUGGUUGUAUCAUUAAUGUAAUUGGAGAGCCUAUUGAUCAUAGAGGUGAAAUUAGUAAGUUAUGUGACUCAGGAAUGGCCCUGCUAUCAGUUCCCCUGUGGUGAUUAUUUACGUCUGAAAAGACAAGUUGACGUGGCAUGGUGUGAGCAAAAGUGGUGGCUGCAGAAUCAUCAGCAGGUAGCAAGCCUGCGUCAAGUGGAGGCAUGUUUCUUUUCAAGUGAGAUUGGAAUGUCUAUUGCUGCUAAUUGGGUGUCUUGCAACUUCAUAUAUCCACUCAGAGAGGUUGGGUAUCAGUAAGCUUCUGUUUGGAACCAUGCACCUCAAAGCAUAUAAUUGGGGGGUGGUUGUUGCUUUAAGCUCUACCCCUAAAGCUAAUUCAUCAAAAUUAAACCAAAAGAGUCAUCUACUCUUGAACCUUCAAAGCAUUACUUACAACCAUUUUUGCAUAGAGCGGUGUUCACAGUACCAAAUCAUACCAUCCAGUCGGAGCGGAAACUAGCUACAAAGCGGUGUUCACAGUACCAAAUCAUACCAUCCAGUCGGAACGGAAACUAGCUACAAAAGUAACCGUGUCAACUACUCCUGAACCACCUUCAUUUGGGCUCACUGGUUUUCAUGCCGAUUAUUGAACCGAAGACUUGGUGGUUGAACUAAAUUUUUAAAGCUUUUUAAACAUUUUUAAAGUUUUUUCCUUUCUAAAAUAGUAAGAUCUCAUCUAAUAAUUAAUUUUAAACUUCAGCCCCUAUGUUUUGCAUUGCAAAAAGUUAAAUUACUUCCGU